AUACGGAAGUCUUCAUUUUCUGACGCGAAAUCAAACAGCUUACCGAGAGCAAAGUAUAAUCGUGGUCAUUUACGAACAAAACAGUUGGAAGUGAUAGCAUCACAAAGGGAACUUCCUUGGACAUGUUGGAUACAAGAACUUUGUCUGAGAAUAAAGGAGCUCUGAGUUUUUCAACUUCAUGAAAAACACGAUAUUAUAUCUCUUCACAUUUAACUGUCUUAGGUAUCUGUUUCUGUACAGUCACACACGAAGAAAA